rnacentral:rRNA from 1 species
AUGGUUGAACUUGAAAGGCAUGUCAUGUUUCCUGCUGUUUAUCGCCUCAUUGAGUUGGCACUGCUACUACCGGUAGCGACGGCAACAGUUGAAAGAGCCUUCUCAUCAAUGAGAAUCAUCAAGAAUGAGUUGCGCAGCAAGAUGUGUGAUGGCUGGCUAAAUGACUUGAUGGUGUGUUACAUUGAGCGAGAGAUCUUCAAAAGUAUUGAUCUCAAUAAAAUUAAGGAAGAUUUUCAGAAGGAGGGUAGGGCACUGCCAUUGCCUGGGUCUUCUACACGCCACUAA